GAAAGGAACGGAGGAAGAGAAGACUACACCUGUGAUAGAAUUACCAGCUCCAAUAUCCGCUGACUUCUUGUUCUCUUCGAAAGUUCACCUUCGUUACAAUAACCGAAGACUAAAUGAUCAACCCAUUUGCGUGUGGGAGGUCGCAGCCAGCCUCUGCCUUCCUGGUAAAGAAUGUAGAUAAAGUAACAUCAGCUACCACGUCCUGUAAGGCAAGUCAGAAUGAGACCAGGAUUGUCUUGAUCAAUUUAUUUUGUGCCUUUCUUUUCCUGGAGGAGUAGAAUUGAGCCACUUCAACCAGGGCAAGAAAUCCACUGGGAGGAUGAUGCAUUCCUGACUCACAUCUAUGCUGUAUCGUUCGCUCUGGGUGCUUGCUCGCAUUCUCAUCCAUUCUUUGAUCACUAAUCCUAGUCCAGCUGUGGAUGGGAUCCUGGGUAGCAUGUAGCCUGUUUUCUCAAACACGAUGGUCACCUACUCCUCUAAAAUUAACACUAGAAGACAGUUCCCUGCUGCAUGUGUAAGACAUGAUUGGAAGGGACACACUCAAUACUUCUACCAUCUACUCACUUCAUUUAUCCUGGUGUCACUCAGGUUUCUAAAUAAACCAUCUCUUACAUCUCUGCAUUAAGAUUCCAGAUAUUUUUGAGGCCACGGGUUAACUUACACAUCUUACCCUCAAUAGGGUAUGUCAGUCAUUCUGUCCAGCGGACAUUUGAUUCUGUAGGAAAAAGGACCAGUAUUGUACAGGCACACACAGAUUCAGUUACCCCGCCUGGAGUUGGGUGACAGGUGAUAUUGCUCAGGUGGCACAUGGACACGGGCUGGAGAUAAGUAAGCUCUGCCCCUGGCUUGCAGUUCACUGAUUAAGCCAGGCUCUCUGUCCAGGGAGCCCCAGAAUCCACCUGCCUUUGCUUCCCCAGUGCUGGGCUUCCAGGCAUAAGAACUUGGAUUCUAAUGAUCAGACUGAGGUUCCAAGCACCUUACUGACUGAGCCAUCUCCUAAUGCCCCUCCCCACAAGAUUACAGAUUAUUUGCAUAUGAGCCUUUGUGAAGAUUUUGGGCUCACUAGAUUCUUAUGCCUUUCAGCCUAUUUGACCUAUUUUGAAGUUACUCAUUUUGGCAAUGAAAAUUCACUUUUUAACAUCCUUAAAAACACCAUUAAUCUGCAUUAGAUAUGGGAAGGGCAUUAUCUGUAGUAUCUGUCUCUAAGUAUGGGUUUCUGAUUUAAAUCCUCCCAAUGCCAAUCCAAGCGUGAAAUGCUUCUUAGCCUCCAAGUGUACACCAAUCACCUCAGAGUUUAAGUGAAGAGAAAAUAAUAGAUGUGUUGAGUAGUCUAGGUCUUGUCAAAUGGCCUCAGACCUUAGUACAACUGACCCCAUGAUGGAAGUACCAUCCAGGCUGUAAAACUCAGCAUGUAGGCAGCACCACGUGCCAAAACUAAAACAAAGGCCUAAUCCACCAAAGUCCCUUGUUCUGGGAAAGUCUCUAAAUGAACUAACCUUGCUUUUUAGCUUCUGUAGCUCUGCUUCUGGCUAACUGUUCUUGUUAACAGAACAUGGUUUUUCUGCUUAAAAGCUCACCCUGAGAAAGGCUCAGGGCUGCAUAGGCAUCCUGAACAUCCAGUGUAGUUGUUGGCUGUCUAAAAAAAACAAAAAAAACAAAAAAAAAAAAACAAACACCUUUCUGUUGGCUUAAACCCAUGUCUGAGCAGUCUUUUUGGAGAAUACUCCACAAUAUUUCUGGAUACCUCAAAAGAUCCCAGAGACCACACUUCAAGAUACCGGGGUGGUGGGAUGAGGAGGUGUCUCAGAGACCCUUGGAUCAAGGAAGAGUUGGGCUGUCAAGGGGCCCCUAGGGGGACACAAGUGGAGAUGCUCCAGCUUCCCAGAGCUGCCUUUGAUCACUCACUGCCUAAGGUUUUGGAGGGGUCUCACACCUCUACCGGGAAAGGAAGCAGGUUGCCUUGGUCUAUGACCUCCGGAGAUAAGUCUGGUCAUGGCACAUUCUGUUUGGACACACAGGAGAGGUCGACAUGUCUGCUGAUCCAGUGUCCAUGUGAUUUGUGACUGGAUCCUUUUGUCUGUUCAGGUAUAUAAAUGUGGUGGCUACCCCUUGUUGUCUUUUCUGUCUUUGUCUGUCUGUCUGUCUGUCUGUCUGUCUGUCUCUCUCUCUCUUAUGUGUCUUUGUGUGUCUGUGUCUACGUGUUUCUGUCAGUUCUAUUUCUCUGUAUUCACUAGUGGCUUUCUCUGGUGUAAGAACCUGUAACCCAGGCUUAAGACCUGUACCCCAUUCCAUUAAGGACCCAAAUCCUUUUGACUCUGCCAGGUUACCCAGACAGACAGACAAACAAACAGACAGACAAACAAAACAAAACCAAAAGUCAAAAACCAAACCAAAUUUAAAGGCCCCACAACUAACUAACUAACUAACUAACUAACUAACUAACUUUAUUUUGGACUCAAUAUAGAAUUAUUUGAUAUAGAUUUUUUUAGUUAAAUAAUAUAGAUUGAUUUAGUUAUAACCAACCAACUAACUAACUAACUAACUAACUAACUAACUAGAGUCCACCUGCCCGCUUUAGGAGCAAGGGGCCUUGCUAGUUGCUUUGCUACACUUCUGCUCACAGUCAGGGUUGGUUCCUGUGUGGAUGUGGGAGGGGACAGGCCUCUCGUCCAGUGCCCCCUGUCCUCUAAGCAGAAUGCAGGAAAUAGUUCUCUCCCAGGUAAGCAUUUCCUCUCUGUGGCCUGCUCUAAACAGCCCCAGGGAGGAAGAAAUGUCCCCCCUGGGCUGAGCCCAAAGGAAAAGAGAAAGUUUCUCUCCUUCCUCUUUUAUGAUUUGUGUUGCAUUUUUAAUCAGUGAUCCAAAAAAUGCACUAUUCUGCAAAUAAAUAAAUAAAAAUUUUAAAAUG
rnacentral:lncRNA from 1 species